AACCGUUAUAACCGGCGAUGUCCGAAUGGGGAAACCCAGUGUGACUCGUCACACUAUCAUUAACUGAAUCCAUAGGUUAAUGAGGCGAACCGGGGGAACUGAAACAUCUAAGUACCCCGAGGAAAAGAAAUCAACCGAGAUUCCCCCAGUAGCGGCGAGCGAACGGGGAGGAGCCCAGAGCCUGAAUCAGCAUGUGUGUUAGUGGAAGCGUCUGGAAAGGCGCGCGAUACAGGGUGAG
rnacentral:rRNA from 1 species